rnacentral:rRNA from 1 species
UACGUAGGGUGCGAGCGUUGUCCGGAAUUAUUGGGCGUAAAGAGCUUGUAGGCGGUUUGUCGCGUCUGCUGUGAAAAUCCGGGGCUCAACCCCGGACUUGCAGUGGGGUACGGGCAGACUAGAGUGUGGUAGGGGAGACUGGAAUUCCUGGUGUAGCGGUGAAAUGCGCAGAUAUCGGGAGGAACACCGAUGGCGAAGGCAGGUCUCUGGGCCACUACUGACGCUGAGAAGCGAAAGCAUGGGGAGCGAACAGG